AUGCUCGCUUUUAUAGCAUAUAUACUAAAAUUUGUAAUAACACAGAGUAGAUUGACAUGGACCCCUACGCAAGGAUGACAGUAAAAUUUAUUAAGUGUUUUAUAUUUUA